GCUCUUGUCAAACUUUCUAAGUUUCUGAAUGCCCCAAUCCCAUCCCAGCCUGCAGUUUGGAGAAAGACUAGCAUACAAUUUGGUGUACUCUUUUGUGUGUCUGUCUCUCUCAUGCAGUGAAAUUACGUGAGAAGAAAGAUAGAUACAAAUGAUAUACAUAACCCUAUUCCAUGUAAAUUUCAACCUGCAAUUCCGGCCCACUCACAAUGGAGUGAGAGUCACUCAAAUACUAAUCUUAACGGGGUGAGUUGCAAUGCCAGGUCUAAGUGAGACCCUUAUAUUGAGGUUUGUGCCUGCACAAGGCCAAGUGGUACCUAAAUACAAAUGAGCUCAUUUCUUUGUGAGUAAA